CAAACGGCCUUUGUCAAGGCCACCCAAUUCCUCCAGAAAGAGUUG
rfam:Astyanax mexicanus chromosome 20, whole genome shotgun sequence.